rnacentral:rRNA from 1 species
GUGGGGAAUAUUGGACAAUGGGCGAAAGCCUGAUCCAGCCAUGCCGCGUGUGUGAAGAAGGUCUUCGGAUUGUAAAGCACUUUAAGUUGGGAGGAAGGGCAGUAAGUUAAUACCUUGCUGUUUUGACGUUACCGACAGAAUAAGCACCGGCUAACUUCGUGCCAGCAGCCGCGGUAAUACGAAGGGUGCAAGCGUUAAUCGGAAUUACUGGGCGUAAAGCGCGCGUAGGUGGUUUUGUAAGUUGGAGGUAAAAUCCCCGGGCUCAACCUGGGAACUGCCUCCAAAACUGCAUGACUAGAGUACGGUAGAAGGUAGUGGAAUUUCCUGUGUAGCGGUGAAAUGCGUAGAUAUAGGAAGGAACACCAGUGGCGAAGGCGACUACCUGGACUGAUACUGACACUGAGGUGCGAAAGCGUGGGGAGCAAACAGGAUUAGAUACCCCGGUAGUCC